UACAGAGGGUGCAAGCGUUAAUCGGAAUUACUGGGCGUAAAGCGCACGUAGGCGGUUUUUUAAGUCAGAUGUGAAAGCCCCGGGCUCAACCUAGGAAUUGCAUUUGAAACUGGGAAACUAGAGUGUGUGAGAGGGGGGUAGAAUUCCAAGUGUAGCGGUGAAAUGCGUAGAGAUUUGGAGGAAUACCAGUGGCGAAGGCGGCCCCCUGGCACGAUACUGACGCUCAGGUGCGAAAGCGUGGGGAGCAAACAGG
rnacentral:rRNA from 1 species